GAUGAAGAACGUAGCGAAAUGCGAUAAGUAAUGUGAAUUGCAGAAUUCAGUGAAUCAUCGAAUCUUUGAACGCACAUUGCGCCCGCCAGUAUUCUGGCGGGCAUGCCUGUUCGAGCGUCAUUUCAACCCUCAGGCUCCAGUGCCUGGUGUUGGGGAUCGGCAGCAGGGCGUCAAGCCCGCCGGCCCCGAAAUCUAGUGGCGGUCUCGCUGUAGUCCUCCUCUGCGUAGUAGCACAACCUCGCAGUUGGAACGCGGCGGUGGCCAUGCCGUUAAACACCCCACUUCUGAAAGUUGACCUCGGAUCAGGUAGGAAUACCCGCUGAACUUAAGCAUAUCAAUAAGCGGAGGA
rnacentral:misc_RNA from 1 species